rnacentral:sRNA from 1 species
AUGGCUGUCGUCAGCUCGUGCCGUGAGGUGUUGCCUUAAGUGGCGCAACGAGCGCAACCCCUGUCCUUAGUUGCCAGCGGAUCAUGCCGGGAACUCUAGGGAGACUGCCGGUGCCAAACCGGAGGAAGGUGGGGAUGACGUCAAGUCAGCAUGCCCCUUAUAUCCAGGGCUGCACGCAUGCUACAAUGCGCGAUACAAAGGGCUGCGAUCCCGUAAGGGGGAGCGAAUCCCAAAAAGUCGCGCUCAGUUCGGAUCGAGGUCUGCAACUCGACCUCGUGAAGUCGGAGUCGCUAGUAAUCGCAGAUCAGCAAUGCUGCGGUGAAUACGUUCCCGGGCCUUGUACACACCGCCCGUCACACCACGAAAGCCGGAAACACCCGAAGUCCGUGAGCCAACCCGCAAGGGAGGCAGCGGCCGAAGGUGGAGUCGGUGAUUGGGGUGAAGUCGUAACAAGGUAGCCGUACCGGAAGGUGCGGCUGGAUCACCUCCUUUCUAAGGAGUAGCUCUUGCCCCAAGUUCGAUUGCCUGAAAAGCAGGGUCAACAUUCGUAACUGAACGGUAAGUGCUCCUAGGUUGAUCACUAACUAGUUGGCCGUCCGCUGAGCAAAUCCAUUCGUAGGUAACGCUCAUCCACUUUGCACUUCGGUGCUGACGAAGAUGAGUCCUCGUGCGACUUGUGAAGAAUCGGCUUGAGUAUCUCUGUUCCGUUUUGAGAGAGCGGCAUAACCCUGCAUUGGCAGGAGUUGCCCCUUUCCCAACGCACUCUGACCACCACUGCUUACGUCGGUAUCCGACGUGCACGUGGCCAUGUGUUCUAGCCCUUUGAGAACUCUAUAGCGAGCACGAGCAUCUUUGUUCUCCAAGAUACAAAGAGUCAACGGUGGAUGCCUUGGCGUCUAGAGCCGAUGAAGGACGUGGUUGACUGCGAAAAGCUCCGGGAAGUUGUCAAACAAGCGUUGAUCCGGAGAUGUCCGAAUGGGGAAACCCGG